rnacentral:rRNA from 1 species
AAGGAAUAUUGGACAAUGGAGGCAACUCUGAUCCAGCCAUGCCGCGUGCAGGAUGAAGGCGCUCAGCGUUGUAAACUGCUUUUGACUGGGAACAAAACCCUGGACGUGUCCGGGACUGAGGGUACCAGUAGAAUAAGCACCGGCUAACUCCGUGCCAGCAGCCGCGGUAAUACGGAGGGUGCAAGCGUUAUCCGGAAUCACUGGGUUUAAAGGGUGCGUAGGCGGUGGCGUAAGUCAGUUGUGAAAUUCCCCGGCUUAACCGGCGGGACUGCGAUUGAUACCGCGUUACUUGAAUCAGGUUGAGGUAGGCGGAAUGUGACAUGUAGCGGUGAAAUGCUUAGAUAUGUCAUAGAACACCGAUUGCGAAGGCAGCUUGCUGGACCUGUAUUGACGCUGAGGCACGAAAGCGUGGGGAGCAAAC